rnacentral:lncRNA from 1 species
UCCCUCUAUCACUUUACUCAUCCCUCUAUCACUUUACUAAUCCCUCUAUCACUUUACUCAUCCCUCUAUCACUUUACUCAACCCUCUAUCACUUUACUCAUCCCUCUAUCAAUUUACUCAUCCCUCUAUCAGUUUACUCAUCCCUCUAUCACUUUACUUAUCCCUCUAUCACUUUACUCAUCCCUCUAUCACUUUACUCAUCCCUCUAUCACUUUACUCAUCCCUCUAUCACUUUACUUAUCCCUCUAUCCCUCUAUCACUUUACUCAUCCCUCUAUCACUUUACUUAUCCCUCUAUCACUUUACUCAUCCCUCUAUCACUUUACUCAUCCCUCUAUCACUUUACUCAUCCCUCUAUCACAUUACUUAUCCCUCUAUCACUUUACUCAUCCCUCUAUCACGUUACCAAUCCCUAUAUCACUUUAAUAAUCCCUCUAUCACUUUACUCAUCCCUCUAUCACUUUACUCAACCCUCUAUCACUUUACUCAUCCAUCUAUCACUUUACUCAUCCCUCUAUCAGUUUACUCAUCCCUCUAUCACUUUACUUAUCCCUCUAUCAGUUUACUCAUCCCUCUAUCACUUUACUUAUCCCUCUAUCACUUUACUCAUCCAUCUAUCACUUUACUCAUCCCUCUAUCAGUUUACUCAUCCCUCUAUCACUUUACUUAUCCCUCUAUCAGUUUACUCAUCCCUCUAUCACUUUACUUAUCCCUCUAUCACUUUACUCAUCCCUCUAUCACUUUACUCAUCCCUCUAUCACUCUACUUAUCCCUCUAUCACUUUACUCAUCCCUCUAUCCCUUAUAGCUGGUCUCAGACAAUCCUGCAGGUGAAGAAGCCGGUGUGGGGGUCCUGGGCUGGCGUGGUUACACGGUUACACAUACUGCCAAAUUCUCUAAAAGGAUGUUGGAGGCGGCUUAUGGUAGAGAAAUUAACAUUAAAUCUUCUGGCAAUAGCUCUGGUGGACAUUCCUGAAGUCAGCAUGCCAAUUGCACACUCCCUCAAAACUUGA